rnacentral:misc_RNA from 1 species
UUGUUCUCGCCGUCGCGGACGCUGAAAAAGCCGUCGGGCUCGGAGAGCGGGAACGCGCGCAGCACGCUCACCUUCAGAUGGGAACGGUCGUGUUCGACAGUGAGGCGCAGGGUGGCGCCAUGCUUGAAGAAGCGCAGCGUGCUCAAAUCGAGGAAGACCAGUUGCGCGGCCUCGACGAGGGAGGCAGUGGUUUUGGUUUCUGCGUCAACCAUCGGUCAGCAAUUGAUUGAGUUUUUCAUCCAGGCACCCAUGUUAACAGGUUGCUAC